UCUUAUUAAGUCCAUCAGCACUUUAGUUUGAAGCUAUGCUGAACUAAGGUGGUUAGACCACUUUCAUGCUCCCUUAAUGAUCUUUUAGUCCUCUAACUUCAACUCUUGUUCGUCCAUUUGUGGUGAAUUUGAACAUCCAAUAGCUGUCAGUAUCCCCCUAAGAGAUACUAGAUAGAUUACCUUCAAAUUUCCUCCAGAUGUUCAUGGCUCUCAGAAGAAACAACCUGUGGAUUUUGCAAAUGCUCUGACCUUUUUCUUUUUUCUUGUUAAACAUUUGACCUAGAAUUAGAGUAACAUCUACAUAUUGGAUCUGGACAAUGUCUAAUGCAAAUAUAUGGCCUUCAGACUCAGACUGGUCACUGGUUUUUGAGGGUGAUUUGUGUAAACUCCCUCAGCUUUAAAUACAUCACCAGAUCAAAGUUUUACCUGCAGAAGUUUGCACUGCUUACAGUGAACGUACAGGAAGUACUGGUAGAGAAGUUGUCAAGCCUUGUAGUGCUUUGUUUGUAUUUUAUAUGUAUCAUAAAUUGCGGAUUUUUUGACUUAAAAGAAGAAGAUGGUAUUUUGUAAGUAAAGAGGUACAUUUGCCCAAAACAUCAGAAAUUAAAUCAUUUUCUUUUUACUCACUUUUUCAUUUGAACUAAAACAUGAUCCAUUUUGGCUAAACCUCCAAAAUAAAGUCGUCUAAUUGAAGUCAAAACCAAAAAUCUUUUUCAAAUAAACGCACAACUGAUCAUGUAUCACAAAGUUUGUGAUUAAUCAUGAUGGAAAUUUUUGUUUAGGGAGUGACCAUCAUUUUUUUUUCUUAAAUAGUCUUUUUAUAUCCAAAGGUAGCAGACAUGCAGACAUGACUUUUAACUACUUUUAACUUGACCACUAUUUUUGGACGCUCCACAGACGUGUUCCUCUGCUGAUCUGCUGUUUGGGUGUUCAGAUGAAAUGAUAGUACAGUAAAACUAAAAAGUGACAUUUUAGCUGAUAGUGGAGUUUAGUUUUCUGUCAGUCAGGUUAUUGUGAAAAUAUUCAUGUGUAGACAACAUUUCCCUCACGUGAAGGCAUGAACACAUCUGUUCAGCUCAUCAGUGGGCUUAGUCAAUUAAACCAAAGUAGUAUUAUGGCUUAUUGGUGCUUUAAGCUACUUGGUGUCACAGUUUUUAUUAAAUAACUGGACACACAUACAUACACACACACACACACACACACACACACACCAGUGGAUAUGCAACCAGCCGUGCAUCGCCCCAUGCUAAAGUAGCUUACUUCAGGCUUAGCUGCCAUCCUCUCCCUUUCCUCCUCCAUCAUUACAGACUCCAUCAUCAGUGAUGCAGCAGAAGGCUACACAUCCCAGUCUAUCUUGUUAGGGCAGAUUAAGCACUAAUAUACAGGCAGGCAAAGGGAGCCUGUACACACACACACACACACACACAGACACACACACUCCUGAUCCUGUCCUUUCUGUCUCAGACGUGUGACAUCUUAAUCUUCAUAAAUACUGACUCCAGGAGACCCUGCAGUCAGAGCGCUGGGCUCACUGGAUGCUCACACUGUGGGUCAUCAUUAGACCCACAAAGAGGCAGCAGAGGAGUUUUUGGUCCUGAGCAAGACGCAUCGCUGAGCACAUGGAUUACUCUGCUGCUAUUAUGCACAUUCAGAAUGACUUGUGUAUGCAUCGCUGUCGGCUUCUCCCCUCGAUUUCAAUUAUAUUUGUCAAACACUGGAGUCAAAAAUAGGAUACAUGUGACUCACAAAAGAAACUGAGUCAAAUAUGACUCCAAAUACUUUGAAAUACUCCUUACCUACUUUGAUUUCCCACAAAUUCAGUUUUUAAUGUGAUGUUAGGCUAAAGUUUAGUCACAGGCCUUUCCAAUAUUUCUGAUGAAAUCACCAAUUUCUCCAAAAAAAAAGGUCUUUCAUUUUACAGCAGGAAAGUUGUCCUUGUACAAAAUGCUCUAUUUGAUUUUAUCAAAUAAGCACUUACCUACUCUAAACACAAACCAGCAAGAACAUUGUAGAUUCACUACACUCUCCGGUAUUUUACCAUUCAAAGUUAUUUACUUCAAAACAAACAUUUAUCUCUGAUUUAUACUCAAUUGGUUAUUUACGGUCAAAUACAUACAACACAAGGUCUUUCUGAGGCAGUUUAAAUCUGAAUUAAUUGCUGCCUUACCAAACUGAGGACCCAGUUUUGAGUGCUCUCAUUCAAAAUAAACUUGUGUCCUAUUCUGGGAAAAAUUGUUCCCUCUUACUCAUGAUAGAGCACACUUCAGUGUACUUUAAGGUGGUUAAAAGAAAUAUUGAAUAAAACAGAGGCAGCAAACAAAAUCCAAACAAAAUCUGUAGUUCUGCAGUUCUGCAGUUCUCCACUGGAGGGCAGUGGUACACUGUGUCUGUGUGUAACAGCUGGGGAUUCAGGGGGGAAAAUGAAACUAAGUUUUCCUAUAUUUUCCAAUAUUAAGUCUUUUUUGUUCUUACUGGCAGAGAUACUGGGGUCAAGUCAAUGUUGGGACAGGUAAACCAUUACACAAACAAAUGAAUAAGAAGGAUUACAGAAAACAAACCACGGUGCAACUAAAAACUAUAAAACAAGAAGCACCAUGUUGUUGUUCUGUUUUAGUCAACUUGUGCUCUUUAAUAUCUGCGUUUUGGCUGCAACAAAAACUCCAAAAUAAAGAGAAAUAUUGUAAAGAGUCUAAUCAUAGAAUAAAUAAAUGAACAAUCAGAGUGCUGGGAUGUACAGUAUAACAUGGUGCGACUAUAAAUUUGACAGGAAAAAUAUAAAAAUACGUAUUUUAAUAAAAUAUUCAAAAGCCUACAAUAACAAUAUAGAAAAACUAAAAUAACAGUCGAGUAUUUCUGGAUAUUAAUUGUGUAUUUUGUGAUGUAAAGUUAAUAUUGAGGGAAAAAAGACAACAUUUUCCAAAGCACAAAAAAGGUUCCUCUGUUCUCCUCAAAGACAAAGAAAAAAGGCAGAAACUCGAGGUGUUAAAGAGGUUUAAACCAGAGAGUGUUGAGUAUGUUAGUUUAACAACCACCUCAGAGAAAAAGGUCAAACUCAUCUGCAUAUACAGAUGUUUAUGGGAACAUUUUGAAAGGACAUAUUGUAAAGACUAAAAAAGUAAACAUGGCCUAUACAGCAGUGCAAAAUAAACGACAACAAAAUAUAUAAAGAUAUUUAACCUCCCUUAAAAGCAACUGCAUGCAAACAUAAACAUUACAUUAAAAACUUAAGGGAACAGAACAAGCAACAAAAAUACAGAAGAGGCGUUCACUCAAAGAAAGGUCGUGGAAAAGGCAGGAGGCCCCCAGUUCAGAAAAACAGAUCAGAGUUGAAACCUUGAGUAAGCUUAAAGGUUAUUUCGACUAAACAACUAUGGAGUUUGUCUUCUUUUUCAUCUCUUUAUUUUUACUUCUUUAAUAUAUUGAAUACUUAUCAAAAAUGCCAGUUUUAUCACCAAUAGAGGGCUAAAUCCCUGAGGUUGGACGCCAUUAUUACUGGCAGUCAUAUGUGUAAAAGUCAGUAUACGACCCUAAAAGCCAAAAUAAUUCUCUCCUGAUGACAAACUAUCUUGUUUUUUUAGUCUGCUGCCUUUUUUUCCCACGUUAAGUCCGAGGAGAGAGUUCUUUGUGUGUGUUUACCAGCUUAUCAUCUUUAGAUAACACACUCAGGGACACACACAUAAACACUUAUUUAUGUAGACCGUAUUUCAAGCACAGAGACACCUCGCCACUGUCCUUUCCUGCACACCUGGAGGACUUUAUUUCUCUGGGAGGUUAAGUCCCGACCCUGCAUUGUUGCAAUAAGCUGAGAGAAGAAAAAGAAAUGAAAUAAAACGGAUGACAUAGGGGGAGUAAAAAAGGUGUGACUGCUGGAGGGAAAAGAAGACCUUUAGUCCUUGAAGGUUUGGGUCUCUGUGCUGGUUCGGGGGGUCAGAAGAAGCAGCAGCUGUCUUGCUUGACCGACUCUGAUGAAGCUGCAGAUUUUCACUUUCAUGAAUCAUCCCGCUCCUUUCUCCUCCUUUUUCCCCCUCCUCCUCUGCUCCCACCUGGACUCCUUUUCACAAAGAGAGGGGGAAUCCUCCUCUUAGGCCUCUUUCUUCAGCACUGAGGCAAUCAGACUGUUGAACACGCAGACGGAGAUGAGACAUUUUAAAUUAGUGUGAGGACAGAGGGGAGAGAGAGAGAGAAAGAGGGGGAAAAUGACAUUUUUCAUUUUCUACAAUGAAAGGUACUACAUUGAAUUCUCCGAGCAUGACAAUACGGAGGAGUAAGUAAUGGAAUAGGAGCAGACGUGGUGUCUGUGUGUUAGUGGAUAAUGAGGAAUUUAAAGAUGUACGCUCCUCUGCUGCCAUUCAAUCACACUCUCUCAUCCCCCGUCACUGUCACCGGCCCUCGUCUCAGCGCUGUCACAAUACUGCACCCAAAACUUCUUCUUCACACCGAUCUUUAAAAUGAUCUCUGGAGUCAUCCAGGAGGGGUUUUCAGGGGAUUUAAGGGAACAGCUAAUCCAGAUCUGACCCUCAAGAGUACUACUAGUGCUCUGUGAGACAAAUCUGCUGCAGUUAAGAUAAACCAGAGAAUAACUCAUUACAAUGUUAACAUUUUAUUGUUUUUGAUAACAUCGAGGCAGAACUGUGACAGCAAGUUCUGUAAGUGUUUUACUUUUAUUAAAUUAUUUACGGCUUCAGAUGACAGAUAAUGUCCAAGGAAUGAAAAGUUUUAAUUGAAAUGAUGUGGGGGGGAAAAAAAGAGGCAGCUAAAGAAAAGGUUCCUGAAAAAAUCUUUAAAAAUGUAUCUUGAUUUCAAAGAUCUUAAAUUUUUAGAGUUAGAAAUUAUAUAAAAAGUGCAUAAAUAACAUAAAAAGUUCCACCUUAGUAUUUUUUCAGUACUUUUAGAUGUGGUUGACUGAGUAACCACAAACACAUCAAUACACUGCAACAAUGACUAAAACAUAUGACCAUCUGAUACUUAAGUACACAUCUAAUUUAUGCUCCAUAUACUCUAACAUGCAUGAUCAUACUAAUUUAGAUAUGAACAACCCCUGCAAACAGUCCUGUCUUAUUUCGUUCCCAAUUUAAAACUGCAUUGUUGUUUUGAAUUAAACUGGACUUACAUUAUAUGAAAGAGUUUCCACAUAUACCACACGACAGAGUGUAAUUGAAAAAUGUGUGAAAAGUCGGUGUAAGUGCUUCAUAAUCCAGCAUAUACCCGUUUCUAUUAAUUCUGCUCCACUGUCUGACUCUUGUGUCUUUCUAUUCGCUCUGUCAGGUUUGCAGGAUACUUUGCUGUAUAUAGUCUGUAAUUACAUUCGGCCUUGACUAUCAUUCAGUGCGCUGACAUCUUCUUCAGUAUUUUAAAGGAAAAUAUGUAGGUUUAUAAAUACUCUGUAAAGGACUGAAAAUUCAAGAAUUACAGGACAAAUUACAUUCAGAUACUUUUGAUUUCACAUUUGUUAAAGUGAUCACAUUAGGGUUUAAAAUAGAUGGAUUUUUAUUCCAGCAUGUGGCUAAAACUCCAAAACAGCAGUUAGAUAAUUGAGAGAGAGAGUAUUUUGGGGAAUGAUAUUUUGAGUUUCAGUUUAAAUCUGAGUUUCAGGCUGUUACUGGGUCUGAAUUUUAACACAGAGGAGUGGACUCCACUGCUAGACUAUUCACAAAGUACACCAAAAUAGUCCAGUCUAACAGCUUCAAUGAAUUUUUACUUUAUCAGCUCUUUUGAAUUUACUUUAACUCUGAAAAUUUUCUACAUCAAAUAAAAUACCCCAGCUGAAAAGUUAAGCAGCUGAAGUUCAGUUUUCCUUGUUCUGUUUGGUGCAGAGGAUUUAAAACAGAGUAAGUGUCACAAACUUCUUCAGAUCUGAGCUAACAUGAGUGCAGAAAUUCACACAGUUUAUGGAAACAAGUUUUGUAUCAUUAUUAAGUUCUCUAAUUUAAUCAUCACAGCAGCAACUAAACAACAUAUAACCAUUAUCAAGAAACCUCAACAUCACUUUCACCAAUGUCAUUGUCAUUAACAUCAUCUUCAGCAACAAACGACCAAGUGCUGAGUCCUGAGAUUGAGACUUGGGUUUAAGAGCUUCUCAGAAAUGUAGAUCAAAUGUGGUUGGGCAACCUGUUCCACCUCUGGGGGACCACAGAGGAGAAGAGUCUUUCUGAAGUCUGUCACAAGGGUCUUCAGCUUCUUCUUAAAGGUAGAAAGGGACUCAAUGGAUUGAAUGGAGAUUUGGUAAUUCACAGAGUGACUUUAGGGCCCUGUUGUGAUGGGAGCACUAUAAUUGGUGUAGUGGGCAAAAAAUGAGUGUAGACCUGGUUUAGGAUUUUGAGGGAGACCGGAGCCAUUUUUGUUGCUGUUUUGCAAGCAAGCAGUAUGGUUUUGAAUUUGACGCAAGACACAACUGGGAGCAGCUUUAGGGAGAAAUGAACAACAGAGUGACGUGUGCUUUUGAUUAGUUGAAACCAGACCUGCAGCUUAUUUCACAAUCAUCUGCAGAGGUAGGGACAUUUGCCAGUAAGGAGUUGCUGUACCAGGAGCUGUGUUUCAUACUGAAUCUGAGAGGGUCUUAUCCUCUUUCUGUUACAGAAGGCGAUCAAAACCACAUGAGCUUUAAAGUCAGCUAAGUGGGCAUGAAUUUGUUUGAUCCAGGCUGGAUCUUGAUCUGUGCCUGGAUUGAGGGCCUGACUGGGAUGUCAAAAGGCUCAGUCUUUGUCAGGUUGAACUUAUGGUGGAGUUCCUUCAUCCAUUUGAGGUAACAGAAAGGCAUAAUGGGAUCUGAGCUGUGUGGUUUGGUGCAGAUGACAGGAAGAGCAGGGAAUCAUCUGGAUUGCAGUGUUGAGUAUUGUUUUAUUUUAAUUUUUUAACCUUUAUUUAACCAGGUAAUAAGUGAGAUUAUGUCCAGUCGAAGGGGGCCGAGCAUUGACCCUUGAGGCACCUCUGUUGAUUUAACUAAAACAAAAUAAACAUCUUUUUUUUUUCAAUUUUCUCUCUGCUUCUGAUAACCAAUAAACAAAUCGAUCAUUUGAUUAAACGCGUACUUAUUUGCACAAGUGCCUGUGUUCAGUCCACUGGAGUUUGCUGAACACAUGUAAAAUACACACUCACACCUAAAUUAUUCCCUCUUAAAAUAUAUGCUGCAGACAUCAAAUGCUGAAGCGUGUCAACACAAUAACAUGUCUCCGGGCUUUUAGUACAGUCCACACACUCUGCAAUAAUGAUUAAGCAUAGUAUUUGUAAACUAUAGCAUAUCAUUUAGUGACAUCAUCACAAAGCCGCAUAGUAAUUUCAACUUCAGGCUAACCUGUCAGGCACAGGAGGGCCUGUUUUUUUCACCGGACAGGAAUAUUCUUUACGGUUACAACCAUGAACGCUGUUGUGACAUAAUUGCUGCCCUGAGAGUGCAUUAAGAGGAGAGUGAACCCUUAUUUAUGAGACUCUAAACACCCCCCAGAGGCCUGUUUGCCCCCCGGUGAGGCGUCAUUAGAGAGCAGGAACACAGCGGGAGGCCCCAAGACAAAAUGCAAACAUUAUCAUUUCUUGUUCGUUAUUCCUCGCAGCUUAAUGGCAUAAUGUGUCUUUCUAUUUCCCCUGCUGCAUUUUCCUUGAGGCGUAAAUGUUGUUUGCUAUGUAUGCACUGUUCUGAGUGCUUUUAAUACAAAAUGUGCAAAGCAAAACAAGCAAUUUCACAGCACUGUUGUCAUGGGGUGAAUCCUCUCUUCUGCCUUUCCUUGCUGCAAGGCGGUUUCUAAUUCCACACAGCAUCAACAUGUCACUCUAAAGUGUUCGAUUGGAUGCAUUUCUUAUUUUUAUGUUUUUGAUAUUUUAAUUCUGCCGAUGAGUCCUUGUUUGGAUGCUUUUUCUCCCACUUCAUGUAAUGUUCACUAUGAAUAUGCAGGAGUUCAGGUCAGAAAGAGAGCCCUCUGACAUCCUUCAUCUCUGCGUGGACAGAAAAGGAUGAAUGUUCUGGAGGUGUUCAAGGCCAAAGCGAGCGAGGAAAGGAAUCUGUUGAUUUGCUAUUGGAGCAGCGGUGGCAGAGAAUCUGCAGCAGCCUGUGCAAAAAAAAAAAAAAGUCUUGCUCUAACCUAUUUUUCCACUCUUUCUACACCUGGCCCGUGUUCCUUCCUCUUCCUCUCUCUGCUUUCUUCUCAAAAUUUGGAAAUUUCUCCUCCUUUCCCGUCCACACGUGCAUAAACAUUCUAGUCACCACUUAUGAGUGAUAUUUCCCAAAGCCCUCAGCAUUCGAUUGUUACACCCUCAGCUGCUCUCAAGAUGCAGGCACACGCACAUUGUACACGCAAAGGAAAUUUCCCUCCAACAACAAAAUUACACUUGGACACAAAGCGAGCAUGCACACUCUCCAGUGUACAAGUCUACUCUGGAAAACACACACACACACAAACACACACAUGUGUAUACAAAUAGGUGUUCUCACAAAGCUUGCAAAUUCCAUUACACUUCAAAACUCAACCCUAAAAAAAGGAUUUGGGUUAAUUUAGUAAACACAGGGUCAGAGCUGCCACAAGAGCUGCCUGAGAGGAGUCGAGGUGUGUGUGCGUGAGCUUCACUUUGCAUGCGUGUGUGUUUGCAUGUGCACAUAUAUGCGUGUGUGUAUGUGUGAGGAAGAAACGCUGACUGUGUGAAGCAGAGAGUCCUGGCAGCAGCAGCAGCAGCAGUCUAAAGCCAGCCUCUCUGUGCAGAGAUAGCGCUUCUUUCUCAUUUGCUCUGGCCCUAUUUUAAUAAUAGCUGUGCAUAAGUAAUUUCUAAAAGGCCAGGCAGGCACAUGGGCGUGGGUGUAGGGGGGGCUAGAGGAGGGGGGGAAAUUAAACUCAUUUUAUCUGUGAGCAGGUGGAUUCCUAUUUAUCAUUAACAUGCAUAGAAUUUGCACAAUGUUAUUUCUUGCUGCUGCUACUGAUGGAACGUCAUCCAAAUAAUGUCGGAGGAGGGUCUGCCUUCUUUUUUUCCUCUCCUGCUUAUGCUGGAGUGAAAUUCAUAGAUAAAAGUACUAGGGUUUUUUUCUCGCAAUUUUCUGCAAACGGAAACUAAUUCUGGGAAGCUUCUUAUUACAGUGCAGGCUCAUUUGGUUUGCAUUAAAAGGGGGACAGGAGCGACAUUAGGAUUUCUGCCAGAUUUCCACGAGAUGCUCCAACAUUUGCUCUUAUAUCAUUAGUAACGCCCCCCCCCCUCCCUCCUCCUCCUCUACUUACAGAAGCCCCCUUUUCCUCUUUUAACUUGCAUUAAACAAUCUCUGCUCAUUAUUGGCCCAAUAAUAAAACUGGAAUAUAUUUGACUUCCUGAUUUAGAUCCUAUCAAAAUAUUGGAAUGUAAAUGUGUAAUUUUGGACGCAUGAUAUGGAGGUUAAUAAUUGCUGGAUUAUCUCUGUGUUAUUUUAACAUAAUUCAGCAGCAGGAUUAUUUGUCAUUUUUUAAAAUUAGGAUUGUGCGUUUUAAUUUGUUUUGGAUUGUUAAUCUUUUUUAUUGCAGCAUGAUUUGAACUGUUCCUAUUUUAUCCAGCUGCGGCCUCAAAAACCCUCUAAAAACUGCUGUUCGUCGAGCUUCUCCACCGUUCUUCUGUUUUAUUUUUAUUAUAUAUUCAUUCAGCUGCAGCCAAAGGCUGUUUCUACAUCUCAAUUAGCUGAUGAAGGUUUUGUCCUUGAAAUGUAAGCAAACAGUGAAACAGAAAAUCAUCACACAAAAGCCAGUUUUAAUUGCUUUUCAUUUUUACAUUUAUGAUCCAUAUAUGUGAGUAAAUGUCAGUAUGUGAAACUCCCAUGACGGUACAUGAAAAAGCAACAUUAUGAAAUUUUGGGUCUGUGUACAAAUGUGUAGGAAUGGGAAUAUUUGGCCAUAUCUAACAGUCAGAUUAAAACACUCCCUUGCUCACCCCUCCUGUUGAAGCGAUGGUGGCCUUCAAGGAUAAGUUGGGAUGCCUGAUAAGUUUGAUUCUUCAUUUGCCAAAAGUGAAAUUCUUUUGUGCACAACAGCUACUCCUCUCUUCUUUUUUUGUCUUCCAACUGGUGCAUUUUGGGUGGCCACUCCUGAAGGCGUUUUCUGUUGUAUAAUACAGUAGAAACUUGAUGAUACGAGGAGAUGGCCUCCCAUGUAGAUAUAAAAGCUUAAUGAAUGAUUUUGAUACUAAUACAAGCAAACUUUCAAAUACUUUUAUUGAUCUGCUGAAUGCCACUUAAUACUGUACACUUCAUUUUGAGGGUUAAUAACAAUGGACAUCAAAAACUCCUUAAGGUUACAGCAACAUUAAAAAAUCCUUUUACUAAAUUCAAAUCUUAAGAUAUUGAGGACAAGGUAAAAUAACAGGAAGGUGGAGAACAUAAAAAUUUUGGCACUUUUGACUAAAUGUGUUCAUUCUUGAGCUUCAUUAUGACAAACAAAACUGCUGUAGCGCUAAUAUUUCAAACAUACCAUCUUGAUUGCUUGUCCUGAGUAUCAGUGUUUUGUUGUCAGGCUGUUUGUGUUCAAAUACAAGAUCUAAGUUAGCAAAUAUUUUUCACUGCAUGCUAUUUUGUCCUCUUUGGCACACUGUAGUUAAGCCGUGCAGCGUCUCCCUGUUAAUCAUUAUGGGAGCACUUUGAGUUUGAGCCACCUCCUAGGAGCUAAGCAUGCAGGUGCAGUAAACCAGACUGCAUCACAAGGAAGAACAAGGACUGUGCAAAUCACCACAGACCUGCAGCCUAGAUAUAAGGGAUGAUUAGAAUUAUCUUAAAAUAACUGCACACUAUGUUCACACUGAUGGUGUACCGUGCAUGUAUUCCUGCAUGUUUUGAUGUGUAACAAAACUGUAUGUCACAUGGUUUUCAUUUUGAUGUUGUCCCCCAUCUCUAAAUCAGGAUUUCACACCCCUCUAGUGUCCAGUAUUUGUUAAAAUAAUUGAUGUAAAAGCCAAGAUUAUAAAGUACAUUUAAUUAGUUUCCAUAUCAAGAGACUGUUAAAAAUUGCUUUUCCCAGCUGAUAUGCAAAAUUGUAUGAUUUAAAUCUUAAAAAUAGUUUAAUUAUUAUCACAUUUUGACAUCCAGUGAUUUUAGGAAGAAUGUUCUGAACGCUUAAUUUGUUUUUCCGUAAAUAACUAUUUUACUUGGAUGUCAGAGAUCAAACUUUGAUACUUUCAUAUCCCCACUGUCACAUCUGCAUCCCCAUCCGUGUUGUUGUCAUGUAGUGGAACAACAUCACUUUACAGAUGGUGGGGGGGGAUCACUGGAGAUCCGUCUACAGGCCGGAUUAGGCUCGCCGUUCUGUGCGAUGAAGAGCGAGAUGAUGAUGUGUGUCUCUGUCUCCUUUUCUCCGCUCUGACAAAUAACAGCAUGGCAGCUCAUGGCAGCCCCUCAGCUCCUGACAGCCGUCCAAGCAGCCAAGCAGGCAGGCAGUCAGCCAUUGUUUUGUAAUGUGUUUCACUCUGCCAGCGCUGAUCCUUGCUAAGGUACUUACCACGCCAUUGUUGUCUAAGUAUGCUAUUUUCUGGCUGGGCACCUCCACUAUAGAAUAGGCUGCUUUUUCCCCCCUCUUUCUUUAUUCCUCUUUUUUUAUCCAAAAGAGAGGUUUGUUACAGUCACCGUCAUACUAAUCCUGCUGUGUGAUAUGUAUAUGUGUCAACACAGAGAAAGAGAGAGGGAGAGAGGGGAGUCUUAACCCGGCAGACAAAUGGUGUGAGUGGCAGAGAGGCAGAUAGACAGACAAGUCCCAUUCACUCCAUACUGUCCCCCGUGACACCAAAUUACUGUUUAUCAAAAUAAGACGAGCAGUAUAAUAAGGAUACUUUAGGAGAGUGUCGUUCUAAUGCGUCUUCAGUGUGUACAAGCCUUUAACAUUUCCCCAGCAGUCAGAUUAACAGAGCAGGUCAGAGGAGGACUCGGCUGUGGAAGUGACUGAAUGUCAAUUUAUUACAGUCAGAAGUGGGAUCAUAAAGCUGCAACAUUACAACUAGUUUGUAUUAAAGAAGACAAAUUAACUGUUCCCUUUGUUUGACUUUAAACUCGAAAUACUGGAAUCAUUUCUGUUUCUUGAUGAAAGUUGUACGAGUGAACUGAUGCCACACUCGGCGAGCUAGUUCGCCUUGCACUUAGACUAGCUUAAAACUAAAUUUUUUACGUUGCAACUAGUUUUUGAGUAAAAUUAGAUGAAAUAACAGUGCUUCGAUUUGAUUUUGAAAUAAACGUGAUAGAUGAGAAUAUCACUGUUAGGCUGCUACAGCUACAAGCUCCCACUGAGCAUUUUAUGGUCUAAAAGAGGUCCAACAGGCGUCUAAAUGUAGCCUGGACGACUCGUCUAAAAUCAGGCCACCGCAGGUCUAAAAGAGAAAGUUUUUUAGACGUCUAAUGUCAGACCAAGUUUAGACUGAGUCUAAAUCUGGGCUAUAUCUAUACUACACUGAUAUUGCUCAACAGCUAUCAUAAUUAUUUUGGUCAAGUACUUGGAGAUUAGUUAUGCAACUCUACAUCUAAAUUCCGUCUAAAAAUAUACAGAAUCCAGACAGUUGAAAUUAGGUCUAAAAAAAACUAGAUGUCUAAUAGCCGUCUGUUGCUCAGUGGGCUAGUUACAGUAACUUAGCAACAUUAAUGAAAACAAGGGUUGACAUCUAGCCUGACUGCUUCAAAAGAAGUGAGUUAUCAGUAUCUCUUCAGAGAAACACCAUGCUUAACUUUUCAUACUUAACCCCCUUACCCUUAAAAAAACACGAGUCAUCAUUUCUGUGUUUUUGUUUUGAACAGAUUAAGCAAAGAAAAUAUAACACAUAAAAAGUACAGUGUGAUACUUAGUGAUACUGGUAAGUAGGGCUGGGCGAUAAAGGCAAAAUAAGGAUUGCCAUUUUUUUUCCUUUUUCUUCUAAAAAUAAACUUUUAAUGACAAAGACAUGUCUCCCAGGUCCCAGGUCAAUAUACUCCUCUACUCAGCCCUUCCAUCAGUGAAGCCACAGUGACCUCCAAGGUCAGCUCCUACAGAGUCAUAACCUUAUGUUUUUGAAGGAGCUAAUGCCAAGUCAAACCUGAUGUUACUUUAGACAUCAAUAAAUGAACCCAGUCCUUUUGUUCACAAUGAUGCAUAAAAUAUAUUACCCGAAGGUAAGGAACAAGUACUGGACCUUUAAUCUAUAACAUCAAUCUUCUUCUGGACAUGAAGGUUACUUCACCAAAAGAUUAGGUCACCUAUCGCAACCCCAACUCAAUGUAUGAACAUUUCUACCAGCUACUAAAACUCAUGUGAGGUUGUCAUUAGUGAAUAUGUCAGGUAUUUACAGCUACUCUAUUUAACUGUGAUCCUAAAACUAAAGAAAGCCUGGAUAUACUGUAAUUAAAGGGCAUUAAAUCAAAGAUGAUCUCUGUUUUUGUAUUUUUUCACACUUAAAAAACACCCAAAAGUAAAAAUAUUCAAGAUUUAAAACAGCUGUUUUACAUGGAAGGAAAAAAAAUCUCCCCUCAGUUAAAUCAGAACUCCAGAUUUUCAGAGAUGACUCAAAGAGCAUCUUCUCAGUGUUUGACUACAUCUUAACCACAGCACUUUAUUUUUGUUAUGUGAUGCAUCCUUGCACAAUCUCAACUUUAAUUAAUCACCGCUCUGAGACCUUUUAUUUUCCCAUUUCUGGUUAAGUGUGCAUAUUUCCCUCUCCUCAUUCUGCCGCUGGAACAGAAAAUCUGUGGGAGCAUUAAUAAGCCUAAUAUAGAAACAUAUUUGAACCCUGCUCCUCCACUAAGUAGAUUAUAAACAUUUAUUAUAGCAUGUUAUCAUAAUAUCCUGCACAGCAUAUUGCAAAACUUCAGUGGGCCAGUUUUUCUCCCGGUGCAGAGGAAGAUCAUAGUUAAUUCAGCAGCGUUAUGGUAAUGUAGAGGUCCCUAUCGGUGCCGGCAUCACACAUACUAACAAGCUUAGGAUAAGCCCAGCCUGGAAUGGUAUGAGGUUUGAAUUUCUGGAACCAGCGCGCUCUCUGCAGCCAAAUCUCACUUCAGCAGAAACCAGUGGGGUGAUUCCUGUGCUUAAAAAAUUAGUGCUAGUGCAUAUAUAUUUUUUUGCAAGGAAAGGAGGUUUGGUACCUUGCGAGGAGAAAAAAAUGCACUGUAUGUAAAAAAAAUAUUUUAAGGAUGGCAAAAAUCGUCUUGAGAGGGCUAAUCAGCUGGCAGCUCUGAAAAGCCUGUAAUGUGCAUUAAGAGAUUUAGACAGAGCGCAGAGGUAAAGCCGCACAACAUUGUUGACUCAUUUAAAGAUGCCAACAUCUCAACUUUGUGCACUGUUAACAAAUGCACUCAUGUUAAGUUGGUGUACUCUGCACUUCUCCUGUCUCUGUAAAUCGCAGUGUAUCUGCCAUAAGCAUGUUAGGCCCCAGGGCUCAUCAGCACCAUGUGAUACCAAAGGCAAGGCUGCCUCUGUGAGACAACAUGCUAAAUCCUGUUUGUGAGACUCGGCUGCUCUCAGCUCUUUGACUAAUCUAACCACCCUCAACCUCGCUGCGCAGGAGAGGAGCGGCUGUCAAUACGAGACCAGAGGAGAGAAGGGAGGGAGAAGGGGUGAGGAUGGGCCUAAUGGUGCGAAUGAAAGUCAGAUUUUUUUCCCAUCAGGUUGAGAAAACAUGAUAGCUUGUAAGUAAAAGUGCAAAGUUAGUUCGUGCUUGCAAUGCAUAAGCGUUUGAUGGGCAAAUGGAGCUGGAAAACAUAACAUGAUUUUGAAAAGUUCCCGUUUUUAACAGGAUGGAAACUACGAACCUCUUUUUUACAUUUUUCUACUUUCAUUAAGAGGUAGUUGGCUUUUUAAGAGUUAUUCAUCCUGGUGUGGAUGGUCUCCCAACUGUUUUGCAGCCAACUGACUAAAUCACAAAAGUCCUCAACACUAACAAAAUCAAGGAGAAAAUUUAUGAGAUAUUAAGAUGUAACUAUAAGAGAGUGGCCCUGAGCUGAUUGUGCAGCCUCGCAAGUAUUAACAGUAGUUUCACCUACAGUAGCAUAAAGACAGCGACUGCUUUCAGCUCUUUUAAAUACAAGUUUCUGAAUGUUACAAUCAAGCUUCUCAAUACAUCUUUAAAAGUUACUGCACUGACACGUACAGCUGAUUCAGAGUAUCACAUCACCCAAAAACUCAUGUCCACUAAAGCCUCAAUGACUGGUAUCUAGUGGUAAUAAUUUUAGGUUGGUGCAAUUCAUGAAAUCCCAGUGAAAAGGCAACAAUUAUUACAUUUUAGAAGCUAAAAAAGGUAGUUAGGAAAAAGUUUCCUAAUCAUCAACUUUUUCCUUUAAAAGCCAUGCACUUGAAGUUUGGUCCCGUUUUCAAGUUCUAGAUGGCUUAUGACUGUGCCUCUUUUCACAUUUAGAAGACUAAUUUUAGCUUUUAUUAUUGUGUUUGUUAAAUUUUAUUUUCAUUUGAUAAACUAAACUGAACAGAUAUCAUCAUAAAAAUAUAAGACUAUAGUAUAUUGUUACUGAAACUAUGAUCAAAGUCAAAUGAUGAUAAUAUUCCAAUCAUAAUUUCAUCCAUGAGUGUAGGGUUGUAAAGUCCUACUCGAUUAUCACCCAAUUGGUCAAUACAUGCUGAGUUGACCAAAAUUCUGAUUGGUUGACUCGAUUUUUUUCCACGUCAACUUACGAUGUAUAGUUAAUUUCAUCAAGAGGAACGUACCAAGUGCUAAUGGGGGUGUUUUCAGAGCACCCCUGUUUCACAGGUAACAGCCUAUCUCAGAACACCCCCCUUGUUUUCAUCAUUUUUGAUUCGCCCAACCCACUGAAGCUUGGCUGGAGACAGGUAGAUUGAAGAGCAUCCAUGUUAAUCAAUGUCCGGUGGUUUGCUGAAAAUUUCGUUUUACUUUGAGCAUUUCAACUUUCAAAUGAGCCAAGCCAUGUCCUCCCCCGCAUACAAUCAAUUAGUCAAUUUUUGGUCAAGAAUUUUAGGGUUCUAGUCGACCGAGAAUUUCUUUGGUUGAUUACAGCCCUACAUGAGUGAAAUUAUGACGGAAUAUACUGUCUGACUCCCUGAGAAAACUUAAAGACUAGACUUGUAAUUGCUUUGUUUAAGCUACUCAUGAUGGACCCAAAAAUGGCAGUGCAGCUAGAUUAGAGUAGAUCCAGAUUCAUCUGCAGUCCCAAGCACCAUAACCUUAAUACAAAGUUGCUCUGGCACAACACCAAUGUCAAAUCUAUUCUGCUGUACAGUACAGAAAGCAUGUAAAUAGUCCAAUCUGACAUGAAAAGAGUGAAAACAUCUCAUGCGGAUGCCCUUGACAAAUCUGCCCCAUCUCCUGGCCAAAAAAAAUCCAAUCUCCAAGUCUACAAGAAAACAGGUCACCAGAGCAUGACCAAGGACAUCACAUACAAAUGUUUGAGAAAGCGAGGCCAUGUGCUGCAAAUGGAUCAUGACAGGAUCACUAGAGUCACCCUUGGAUGGACAACAUCAGGCGAAAGGAACUUGGGAGGACCAAGGUUAGACCUAGAUUUAGUUUACAAUCCGUUUAGUGACAAAAGCUGUUUUCGUGGUCGACCCACGUACCAAAGCAAUUAACAAUCAAGAGGCUGACUGGUUGUAUUUUGAACAAUGAAAACAUUAGCAACUUUACAGCUCUGUGUGUUUCUUACAUACAAUAUGACAGCUUUGUGUUUUUUUGAUGUCCCUUCUUCUUCUAUUUGAGGUCUUGUUUACUGGCUGGCUUCCAAGCAACACAUUUAUGAUAUUCAACUUCCAGGUCAGAGCCUGAAGUUCAAGCUAUGGAGCAUGCACAGAACGCAUAAACCAGUUUCAGUCUGAUAGACGUGUAUACAUGCAAGACAAAACUGCUCCCAUUAUCUAGGUAUGAUAGUCCAACUUUGAUUUUGGUCUGUUUCUUUUAGCCUAGUAAGCCGUAAUGAAAAUAGCACUAAAACAAGGAGAUCUGUGCAACCACAUAUAUGUGGAAAUACACCGAAAUCCAUACAGAGGAAAAGAUUUAAAAACUGAAGAGAAAAUUCCUGAUCAAAUGGUUUGAAAGUUUGUAACCUUGUCCCACAGACACUCGGGAAUCUCUGCGGCACAGAAAAUUCAAUCUACCUAGAAAUAUAUGACGAUAAUGGUAUGUGAUUUAUUUAUAUUUCUUUAGAGUCUGAAGUCCUUGCAAUACAUUUUAUAGUGAGAUCGUUUCAAGGAGAAAGAAAGUUGUUUUUGUGUUUCUUCUAACAAAAUAUGUUUUACGGCGGCUCAUGAUGAAAUAUUUUACUUUGUUCAAACUUAAAUAAAGGGAUGUCCAAUUUCGCAGCAAAACAGUGACCUGACAUGACCUUGUAUAACAAGCAGACAAAGUAAAGUGAGAAAAACUGGAGCCACAAUGAAGUUUGUAUGUUUCUGUUUCAUGUCUGCAUCUGUCUGUCUGUCUGUCUUUGUCUGUUCAUCUGUCUGUCUGUCUUUUUAUUCCCUCCAAAUGAUAAUUCAGACCAUCACAGAUUUGGCACUUGUAGCAGGUCUUGUGGAAAAAUUAAUUAAUGCAAACUCCAAGUGCUAUCGAAAUUAUACAUUUGGAGCGCGCACAGACACAGAUACAGAGAGAGAAAGAGAUGUGAGGACGCUCUGGUCUCAUUAAGAGAGCAGGCAGAGUGGAAUUAGUCUGAAUAUAAUGACAGGCCACACUAUCUCAUGUAAAAACAGCCCUGUUUUCCUCUCUCAUUCAUUGGCACUAGUAAUUAGUUUUGGCCCUAAAACUGUCACCCUUUACUCUAGAAAAGGCAGAUGUGAUUUGAGGUGCAAUUUAAUCUUGCUUUAAUGAAGAACUAAUGGACGCAUUGCAAAUUACUUUUCCUCCCUCCCUCUCCUCCUCUCUUUCUCUCUCUCAUUCUCAGCCCCCUGUGUGAUUGAACAGGGGCUCGGGUGGAAAAAAAAAAAAUCUAUUUCCUGCUUUUGAAAAGAUCAAGAGUAUCUUUGAUAAUGGGCGAGAGCGUCAGCGGCAGCUUCAUCGCAUCGAGCCAACAAGCUCUUUUUACCCGAAUCACAAUUCAGUGGAGAGGAGGCCACAAUUAGUGACAAAGCAGAGAGAGCGCCGCGAGGGCCCCGGACGAGCAGAAAGCCUCUGGGUGCUCCAGGCUCCUUGUUAGAAAACGGGCCCUGGAGGUGUCAUGCAGGAACAAUGAAGCCUGAUAAAUUACCCUGCUUUAAAAAAAAAAAAAAAAAAGAUGUACUACUAAUUUUCAAUUACACCUAUAAUGCAUUCCCGAUUGGAGAGAGAAAUUGGAGGAGAACAAACAGUCAUCGGCUCAAUACACCUCUCUGUGUUUGUCACACAAGUAGCCUGGAGUGUAUUAGCAAUAAAUGACAUGGUGUUUAAUGCAGGAGCUCACAGGUGAGGUAGAAAGAGAAAGACCGGAUGGAAGGGAAUAAUGUGUCGUCAUUAUAUUUCAGGAUAAUCAGCAGGGGGGAAAAAAGAAGAAAAACUACAUUCUUAUCUAAUUUAGCCUCAUUUUAGAAAAUGGUGUUGUUGUUAGGAAAAGGAACAUUUGUGAAGAGAGAGGGAGGAGUGUUUGGAGCAUGUGUGUGUGUCUGUGUGUGCAUGUGUGUGUGUGGGCCUGUCUGCUGCUCUCUAACCACUUAAGAGACACAGUGUUUCAAACUGGCAUUGCUGACGGAUGAUGUUGUGGAGAAUAUAUCAAGGCCAAAUAACAGUCCUUGAAACGGGUGAAAAGAGGAUGUGAGAAGUGUGGAGGGUCAGACAUGUGGAACAUGUGUAUCCGUCCUUCUGUGUGUGUGAGUGUAUGUGCAUGUGUGUGUGUGUUUGACUACAGCAGCAGCAAGGCAGAAAGCCUAAUGGGAGUGGGCUUAACUCUUGCACACAGCCUGGCUACAUAUCUGAUUACUGGGACCAGUAAUUUUCUUGCCUUAAAUAAGGCAGAAAUUGGAUAGGAUGAAUGAAAUUUGGCUGUCAUAUUGCAGUGAUGGUGCAGCAGGGAGAUUAUGUGUUUCACAUAAUCGUUCAUCAUUUCUCAACCAGUGUUCAGGCUUAGCAUAAUGGAAUUGGUAAACUGGUUUAAAUCAGAACGUGAGAACAGACUCUCAUGCAGACUGUGAGGGUCUGUGGUAAUGUCUUCAGACCGAGCAGAGUAUUUUCAGCACAGAGAUACACACACACAUAUAUAUACACACACACACUGCAAACACCACAGGGGCAUGCUGGCUUCAUGUCUGCAGCAUCACAAAGUCACAAUACAUCAAAAGAUACCUCAAAAUCUUGCUUUUAUGUGGAAGGGUUUACUUUUGCUCCACAAUAAUUCAACUCUUUGUUUUUUUUAAGCUUCCAGGACCUUAUUCCACAUUUGAUAGCAUCGUAUUUUUAAUGUUUGUUUAAAAGGUGUAAUAUGGUACAUUUGAACCGUUCCCUUUAAGAUGCAAAUCUAGUGUUAUCUGAUAUAAUAAUAAGGCUCUCUAAUGUGUGUGUUUUUGUUGCAUGGUAGCAUACGUCAUUAAUCAGUUAAAUGAUCCGGUCCUUCUUUAUUGACCUGCAUGAGCUGGAGUUUAACAAACAGUAAAACUUUAUAUUGUUUUUAGUCAUUAGUACAUUUUAUGACCUGCUAACCCAGGACUGUAAAUCGGCUUCAUAGCUGACUCUGGCUCAGCAGCUGUGUUGUGCAUGGUCCACAUUAAAUAAUGUUAUAAACGUAUAACUUAAAAGAAAUAAACUGUAAUUUUAGUGUUUUUUGUUGGCUGUGAUAAAGGAGGAGGCUGUUGGGUAAAGAAAAGUCUAAAUGUCAUAACUGCUACAUUUUAUGUAUGUUAAUUAUGUUGGAAAUGGCAACAUAACACUGCAGAGGAUGUUAUCUGAUAAAUGGUUAAUGCACUGUGAAGCCCUUUCUGCAGUCCUCAGCCCACUCAGUGCACUUCUCAUUACAUGUCAUGCUCACAUGUUCACACCACGUCAUAUACUGAUGGCUGCUAUAUAAAGCACCCAUUAGUAUUAAUAAUACCAUUUACGCAUUUUGGCACAUGCAGCCACUAGGGGCAGUCUGAGGUUGAAGGUCUUGCCCAAGAAAACUUCAGUAUGUCGACAGCAGGACCUGCAUCAGACUGCCAACCACCUGAUAAAAAGACAAUGAGUCACAGCCGCCACUUAUUUACAGCAAAUUAUAACUUCUUACUCCAAAAGCAAUAAGAAUUGUGAGGAAAAAAACAGUAACACACAAGACAAACUAUUUGAUGGGAGGUCACUUAACGCUGUAAAUUUUGAUUUAAAAGUUGUACUGUGAUGUAAAUUACUUGAAAGUGUUUACCAUGGAUAAAUAAAAAAAUGUAUUCUUUAUUUUUUAACAAUAAAGUUUCAUUCUGCUGAAGUCAUUUUAAGGUUAAAGACUCACCUGUCUACAGCUGACUUUUAUUAAAUUAUUAAAAACAUUGAUUUUAAUAUCAUUUUAAUGAUACAACACCACACUGUUGAUUUAACCCUGUUAUUUUAGUACCCUCUUAUCAAAAUCUAUCCUUCUGCCUUUGCUGUUUUAAUUUUCCUUGAUUUUAAUUACCUUUAAUUGUGUUAUUUUGUUGACUUUUCAAUAUGUUUUUUGUUUUCUACUAUUUUAAUUUUCUCGCUGUGGAAAUGCACUUAUAAAUAAAUGUACUUUGCCUAAAGCUUAAUACAGCAUCACAAAGUCCGUCAUUUCAUUUGGUCUAUUUGUUUCUUUAACCUGAGUAUUAAAUCUGUUCAAACUGAGAUGUUAAAAGCUUUGAGUCAUUUGGUGGAGGGGCUACUUUGUGGUUCCCCUUUAGAAACGGCUUCCAGGUUUCCACAUUUCAUUGCAAGUAACACCUUUGAUUUUA